UUUUGGGAGCUCACUGGCUUCGGAGUCGUAGGAACUCCGAAGUUAAGCGAGUUGGGGGCUAGAGCAAUCCCAAGAUGGGUGACCCACUGGGAAGUUACUCAAGAGUUCCCAGAAA
rnacentral:rRNA from 1 species